rnacentral:lncRNA from 1 species
GAAAGGAAGGAAAGAAGGGGCUUAUAAUAUACUGCUAUUAGAUCAAUAUGGUGAAGUUAAGCAGAGUUUUGAGUUCCCACGUUAUGAUUAUGCAAAGCUCCGUCACGUACCUUAUGUGACAAAUACCUGCUGAAACUCAAAAGAUGCAUGACUUUCCAGGAUUUAGCCAUGGGAUGGCUUUCCUUGAAAGAACUUUCUGGGCCAUAUAAAGAAGAUCAGGGAAAAGAGAAAAGGGAAAGGGAAACACCUCCAGCUAAGCUACUGGAACUUUCACUCAACCUAGCAUCUGUGAUGAUAAGCAGGGAUUUUAGCAAAGCUACCAGUGUUUGAAUCCUGGCUUUAGAAUUUUUUUAUGACCUUGGUCAAGUUAUUUAAUUUCUUUUGUUCUCUAUUUCCUCAUCAGUAAAAUAAGAAUAAUAA